UUUACGGUGUGAAAUGCGACACACGAGGUCGUUGAGUUGUUUUUAAGAAACAGAAUGGUGUGGGAGGAAGAUGCUACUUUCAUGAGGACGCUCGAAGUUUGAGAAGACGGACGAUUUUUGAAACAUGAUUUGGAACCCAGAGCGAGAGGACUUGGAUUAAUGUUUAUGCCACCACGCACACCUUUUAAAAUUGCACAGUGUCACCAGAUCACCUCCCAAGUAUGGUACCUGUGCUCAAGGCCUUGUCUUAGGCUCUGCUUUCCAAGGAAUCCAGAUAUGAGAAAGCCAAAAGAAUUCAUAGCCAUUAGUCCCACACUGGAGGAAAGAGUAAAGAAGGUCCAGCAGAUGAAAACCUGGAUCCACAUAAAGUAAUGAAGAUCACUGGAAAUAGUCAACAUGUAACUAAAGGUGAAAUACUUUUUUCUUAUUUUUGUUCAUUUAAUUGGCAAUUAGGAAGAAAAGGUCAUGAACCUAGAGAUGAAAAUAAUUAACCAAAUUUUACAAAUAGAAUCCAAUGGAGUCAAGUGAAGUUGAUCCUGGGUGUUUAUGUUUUGACUAAUAUUUGAAAAUCAAGCAGUGUAAUUCAUCAUAAUAAUAAACUGAAAAAAAUUAACUAGCCAAAAGGAAAAACAAAUGAGUAAAACUAUACCAUCUUCUUGAUAGAUCCUGGAAAACUCAAAGACAAAAUUAAACAUUCCUUUCUGGUAGUGGUUCUCAGCAAACUAAGAAUAAAAGGGACAUUUCUGAAUCUUAUGAAAGUAUCUGUGACAUCUCCCUUAAUGCUGAAAGUCUGAAUGCCUUCCCCGUAAGAUCAGGAUGAGGAAUUUUCUUUCCCGCUCCCAUUUAACAUUAUACUUAAAAAUCCCAGUCAAUGCUAUAAGGCAAGAUAACAAAAAACAUCAAAAUUGAAAUGAAAGUAGUUUGAAAUUCAGUUUUAUUUCUGUAUAGUAGCAAUGAGCAAUUUGAAAUUUAAACACUAUGAGUUAAAAGUGCAUAAAAUUAAAUAUUUAAAUUUUACCAAAGAUGUAUAAGACUUGGCCACUGAAAAUUACUAAACAUUGUUGAUAUAAAUUUGAAAAGCUAAAUGAGUCAAGAAAAUGACACACUGUAUCCUUGGUUAGGAAAACUCAGUAUUCUUAAAAUCUCACUUUUCUUAAAUUCUUGUAUGUUACUGCUGAAGCUUAACUUGGGAAAGCAGUUUGGCAGCUUCUUAAGACUUUAAAUUUACCAACAUCUACCACAAUUUCCAAAUUCUAGUAAGAGAAAUGAAAAUGUUUGUCCACACACAAAUUUUUACAGAAAUGUUCUUUGCAAGUUUAUUUGUUGUAAUAGCUAAGAGUUCGAAACAACCCCAAUACCCAUCUAUUGCAGAUGAGUGCUAAACAACCCAAGUAUGUCCUUACAAGGGAAUACUACUCUUCAGUAAGAAGGGAUGAGCACUGAUUUAUGCAACAACUUGUCUGGUAAUCAGAAUCACUAUGCUGAGUGGAAGAAGUUGGACAAAUAGUAUUGUAGGAAAUUCAAACUAAUCAAGGACAAAAUGGAGGCAGGGUUCAGGGAGUGGGGAAGUACAGGUGGGAGGGAUUAAGAAAAUGGAAUGAAGAAAUUUUUGGGGCAAUGGAUAUGUUCAUUGACUUGGUUGUGUUGAUGAUUUUAUAGGCAUAUAUGUGUAUUUAACAUUAUUACAUUGUACAAUUUAUUUUGGGAAAUUAUGUCAAUUUUGUUAAAGUUGUAUAUAAACAUAAGAAGCAAACAUUUAUCACUCUAUUUUCCCUUUUAAAAUAUUGAAUUAUAACCUUAUGUGUGUCUGACUUCAGUUCUCUUAUGUCUUUAACCACAUUGCUUGAAACUUUGUUUAAAGCACUGAACACAUGGCUGGUAUUGUGGCUCGGUGGGGUAAGCCCCUGCUUGUAACCCGGCAUUCCAUAUCAGCUCACUGGUUCCAGUUGCAGCUGCUCUGCUUCCAAUUUGGCUUUCUGCUAAUGUGCCAGAGAAGGCAGCCAGAGAUGGCCCAAGUAGUCUGUCCCUGCCACCUACAUGGGAGACCUGGAUAGAGUUCCUAGCUCCUGGCUUCAACCUGGCCCAACUCCAGCCAUUGUGGCCAUUUGAGGAGUGCACCAGCUGAUGGAAGAUUCUCUCUCUCUCUCUCUCACCCUCUCUCCCUCUCUCCCUCCCCCCCCCCCACGUCUCCAUCUCCAUCUCUUCUGUCCUUCUCACUCUGUCACUCUGAUUUUCAAAUAAAAAAAUAAAUCUUUUUUUUUAAAGCACUGAAGAGUACUUGGAGUGCUAGAAGUAACCUCAAAACUGUCAGUAUAAAUGUAGGAAUCUAGAAUAAGAUGUUCAGUUAUUUGAGCAGCUUCUCCUUUUAGUUUAGUAACAUUAUCAGCACCCAUCAUUAAACAUUACUAUGACUUAAGUCAUCAUUAUUAUGUUUAAAAUAAUUAUAGAAACUGAAAUGUCACAUAACAUUUCAAGAGUGAUCUUUUUUUUUUUUUACAAUUAUAGUUACUCAUUGAAAAUGUGUAUUAUAUUACUUUGAACCUCAUCCUUUCAAAAUAUUUUUGAAAAAUCUUUGUAACGCCAGAAUUUUUUUUAGGAUAUUUAUUUAUUUAUUUGAAAGGCAGAGUUACAGAGAGGCAGAGAGAGAGAGAGAGGGAGAGAGAGAGAGAGAGAGAAAGAGAAAGAAAGAGAGGUCUUCUACCUGCUGGUUCACUCCCCAGAUGGCCAUAAUGGCCGGAGCUGGGCCGAUCUGAAGCCAGGAGCCUGGAGCUUCCUCCAGGUCUCCCACGUGGGUGCAGGAUCCCAAGGACUUGGGCCAGCUUCUACUGUUUUCCCAGGCCAUAGCAGAGAACUGGAUCGGAAGUGGAGCAGCAAAGACUCGAACUGGUGCCCAAAUGGGAUUCCAGCACUGUAGGCAGCAGCUUUACCUGCUAAGUCACAGCACUAGCAAGGCCAGAAUUUUGUAAUGGAUUUUGUUGUUGGCAGUGAUGAUUAGAGAAGGAAUUUUGAUAUCUAAUAGCCAGAGUUGUCCUAUUUCUAUCUCUGACUUGCUGUACAACUAGGGCAGGUGUAUCUUAACUCUGAAAGACCUACCAAGCUCUUGUUCUUGUGUGGCUCCUGCCUGCACAAAUAAGCCACAAUUUGUGGGAAAAAGACCUCUAGAUUAGGGUUAAGAAACAUGUGCCUGGAUUAAAAUGUUCCAAAAGGCCAAUCAAAAAAUGACAAAAAAAACCCCACAAAAAUAAAAAGUGAUAUUCCCUCACUUUAUAACUGAUCCUUGGCGUUUUAUGUUCAUAAGGUUUCCUGAAACAGAGAAUACCAUGUUUACAAUUGCUUUUUGAUGUUUAUUAAAUUUAAAAUACAGUGACUUGAUCAGCUCUUGUCCUGACGGUUGAUGUACAAUGUAAUACUUUAUCCAUUUUAGUAUUUUUUUUUUUAUUCUAGUAUCAUUGGUUGAACUCUCUAAUUAACACACAAUUAUUCUUAGGUGUUUAAAUUUUAACUGAAAAGUGAUCCCUGUUAGGAAUUUGGAAAACAUCAUGUUGAGUGAAAUAAGCCAAUCCCAAAGGGACAAAUACCACUUGUUCUCCUUGAUAGGUGACAACUAACUGAGCACCAAAAAGGAAACCUGUUAAAGUGAAAUGAACACUAUGAGAAACGGUGACUUGAUCAGCCCUCACCCUGACUGUUGAUGAGCAGCUUAAUAUGUUAUCCCUCUUAGUAUUUUUUUUUUGUUUGUUCUACUUAAUACUUUUGGUUGAAUACUGUAAUCAAUACACAAUUCUUCUUAAGUGCUGAAACUUAACUGAAAAGUGAUCGCUGUAAAAUAUAAGAGUGGGAAUAAGAGAGGGAAGAGAUGUGCAAUUCGGGACAUUCUCAAGCUGACUUACCUCAAAUGGUAGAGUUAGAAACAUACCAGGGGAUUCCAAUUCAAUCCCAUCGAGGUGGCAUGUACCAAUGCCAUCUCACUUGUCCCAGUGAUCAAUUUCUGUUCAUAAUUGAUCGUAAUGAUAGGACUAAGAACCAAAGGGAUCACAUAAACAAGAAUAGUGUCUGCAGCUGAUAGAAUCAAAAAGGAAGAGAAUGAUCCAACAUGGGAAGUGAGAUACACAGCAGACCCAUAGAAUGGCAGAUGUCCUAAACAGCACUCUGGCCUCAGAAUCAGCCCUUAAGGCAUGCGGAUCUGGCUGAAAUGCCCAUGAGAGUAUUUCAGGCAUGGAAAGCCAAGACACUCUGGGGAAAAAAAAAAAAAAAAACCUAAAUGAAAGAUCUCCACGAGUGAGAUCCCAGUGGAAAGAAUGGGUCAUCAGAGAAGGAGGUACCUUUCUCUGAAGGGAGGAGAGAACUCGCACUUUGACCAUGACCUUGUCUAAAUAUGAUCAGAGUCAGUGAACUCAGGGGGCUUCCAUAGCCUUGGAAGCUCAUGACAAGAGCCUAGGGUGAUUACUGAUGCCAUCAACAAGAGUGUCAAUUUGUUAAGUCAACAACAGGAGUCACUGUGCACUUACUCCUCAUGUAGGAUCUCUGUCCUUAGUGUGCUGUACAUUGAGAUUUAAUGCUAUAACUAGUACUCAAACAGUAUUUUUCACUUUAUGUUUCUGUGUGGGAGCAAACUGUUGAAAUCUUUACUUAAUACAUGCUAAACUGAUCUUCUGUAUAUAAAGAGAAUCGAAAAUGAAUCUUGAUGUGAAUAGAAGGGGAGAGGGAGUGGGAAAGGGGAGGG